rnacentral:rRNA from 1 species
UACGUAGGGCGCAAGCGUUAUCCGGAAUUAUUGGGCGUAAAGAGCUCGUAGGCGGUUUGUCGCGUCUGCCGUGAAAGUCCGGGGCUCAACUCCGGAUCUGCGGUGGGUACGGGCAGACUAGAGUGAUGUAGGGGAGACUGGAAUUCCUGGUGUAGCGGUGAAAUGCGCAGAUAUCAGGAGGAACACCGAUGGCGAAGGCAGGUCUCUGGGCAUUAACUGACGCUGAGGAGCGAAAGCAUGGGGAGCGAGCCGG